rnacentral:rRNA from 1 species
AUUGAACGCUGGCGGCAGGCCUAACACAUGCAAGUCGAACGAGCGGCGGACGGGUGAGUAAUGUCUGGGAAACUGCCUGAUGGAGGGGGAUAACUACUGGAAACGGUAGCUAAUACCGCAUACCAUCAGAUGUGCCCAGAUGGGAUUAGCUAGUAGGUGGGGUAAUGGCUCACCUAGGCGACGAUCCCUAGCUGGUCUGAGAGGAUGACCAGCCACACUGGAACUGAGACACGGUCCAGACUCCUACGGGAGGCAGCAGUGGGGAAUAUUGCACAAUGGGCGCAAGCCUGAUGCAGCCAGGCCGCGUGUAUGAAGAAGGCCUUCGGGUUGUAAAGUACUUUUGGCAGGGAGGCGGUACCUGCAGAAGAAGCACCGGCUAACUACGUGCCAGCAGCCGCGGUAAUAC